CCCAAGGCUGAAGAUUCCUUGAGAGAGGAGCGGACGUGCAAGGAUUCGGCGCCAGGCUCUGCGUGUGCGGUUCGCGGGCUCCGGUUCUGCUCGGGGCUCCUGUAGCAGGUACUUCCAGAACGACCCCCCUCGCUCCCCAACCGUGCCCACGCGGCUCCAAAGCCUUGCGCCCUCCUGCAGUGAAGGGUGGGGGUGUUGGGACCUGGAGUCAGGCCCGAGCUGCCCGCGUUGGAAGCCGGGGGCAGUGGACAGCUCGGCUGGGCACCAAGGGCGCGGAGCCGGGCUGGCCGGGUGGAACCGGGUGGAACCGGGUGGAACCGAAGCCGAGGCCCUCGUGGCCCCGGCCUCCAGGCGGCGUCCUUCCUCGGGCUGUGCCGCACCUCGGCCUUUUGCUUGCGGCCAUCUGUGCGGUGGUGCCCAACGCAGGCCUGGCGCUGGCCGCUGCCCGUGCCACACAGGACCCUUCUCCUAAGGCGCAAGAAGGUAACCUCUUCCCGCGUGGAACCCGCCCCUGCCCGAGUCCCGCGUGCGCUCCUCCCCAGCUGCCUGGGCCUCAGCCGCCCCAGGCCGCGGCUGCUUGCCACGUGGAGAGCGCGGCCAGGCCCCACGCAGGGCACCUCCCCGCCCCGGGCAGCCCCGUGUGGCUGGCUUCAUCCCGCUUCCUGGCUGCGCCAGAUGGGACCCAGCAGGCCCCGCAGACACCCCGAUGCCUCCAUCACCCAGAAACGCGGCAGGGCGCAGAUGCGGAGGGGCCCGCCCUUCCCCGAGGCCGCAGGUGGGGGUGCGGCGGGUAGCAGGACCCCCAAGUGCAGGGGGGCGGUCCACCGCCAGGUCGACUGGGAGCAGGGAGAGGCCGGACCUGGGUGAGCUGCUCCCUGUCACUGAGCAGGGACGGCCUGUGGGCUUGGGAAGCUGGGGUCAGCUGGCUCACACAACCCCUGCUUGACUUUGCCGACCUCUCUGCCUGCCUCUCCUUUGGCCCACUCUUGGGAUUGUACCUCCCGAGAAAGCCUCUCAGCACGUGCACUUUGAACUAGGAAUCCCACAUAGCCGGUGUUUCUUCUUUCUUCUAGAAACCGUAGAAGGUAUUCCCCCAAAUAGGUUCCUGAUGGGAUGUGCCUCACCGAAAUGAGCAAAGGGGCAAGGAGUGAGUGUUUGAGCCUCGCCCAGAAACUGGUGCCCAUGGUUCUUGUCUUUGGCAGACCACCUCCGACCUGGAGAGGGCCUCCUACACAUUCCAGCAACAUCGUUUAGUUUCUAAAUGAGACUAAAGUUUCUUGGGAAAGCAUGUGGGAAGCCACUUUUUUUUUGGGGGGGGGGGGGUUGAGAUGCAUUUGUUAUCUUUACUGGAGAGGAGUCAGAUACAUGGAUAUUUGUUGGUGAUAAAGGGGAACAUUUUGAAGAGUAGAUUAGAAAGGAGGACUUUCUUGUUACGAAAAGUAUCUGCUUUGACCACUGACUAUUUGAAGAGCAUUCUUUUCCCGGACAAAUGUAAUCAUUUACUUAGCAGGGGAACAAGAAAGCCUUUGUAUUUAAAUAGGAAAGUCACCAAGGACACCCAUUAUUUUUGACAUCGAAACUGAGCGACGAGGCAGGAAAUAUCCAGAUUAUCAUGAUGACAGGGAAGAUGUGAUCCAAUAUGUUCGUUUGCUUGAAGGAGGCAGGACAACAUGAGAAUUCAGCAGCGUGGCUGGACAAGAUUUAGAAUUUGUAAUUUAUUUAUAAACAGUGGCUUUCCUGCAUCCGGGAGGCAGGUGGAACCGAGUGAUGCCACAUGACCCAAACUCCAUGUUCCUCUGCUUCCCCACGUGUGAACUGGGUGCUGAUCCCGCUGCCCUCAGAGGUUCCAGGGAGUCACUAUAGUUUGACUCCCCAGUACCUAAUCCCAGGCUCAUCCCUCCAGCCUUCAGUUUUUUUUGGAUUUGCGAGUGUCCAUACUUUCACAGACUUCCUUGGAGGUAGGGUGGCUAUUUGACAUGACACUGGCCAGAGAGAUGGACAAACUCAUAGAUGUCUCCUGGGUUCCUUUCUUCCUGCCUUAAAAAUGGGUGUAAUCCUGGAACUGUGGCACCCGUCUGGCAAGGAGAGAAGAGGUCAAUGUCAGCAACGGCUUACCGCGUCUCUGAGCUUCUCGAGUGUGCAGAAGACAAAUCCGGGUUCGCCUAAGCUACAGCUGGAAUGGCCGAAUCCUGGGUGUGAACAGAGGCAAGAGUCUGUGAUUGAGAGUGUGCGUCCACAGCCUGCUGUGCGACCUUGGGCAAAUCACUUGACGUCUCUGGGCCUCAGUGGCUCGAUAUGACGAUGCUGCUUCACGAAGCUUCUCUGACUUGGCGGCUUCUCAGCACACUCAGGGGAGAAGCCACAUGCUAACCGUGGUCCAUGGGGGUCCACGAAGCCCACCCACUUCUGUCUCUUCAUCUCACACCUCUCUUCUUGUUCCCAAGGUGCCACAAACAGCUAAUCUUCCUUCAGUUUUGUUUUGUUUUGUUUUUUACUAUGUCACUCUGUCUCCCACCCCAGGGCCUUUGCCCAUGCUGUUUCCGCUACCCAAUGUUCAGUCCGGCCUUCUUUCUCCUUCAUGAGAUCCAGCUUCAGUGUCAUCCCCAAUAAGAGACGGGGGUGUGCGGCCCACAUCCUUUCCCAUUUGUACUUCUUGGGGUGGUAGCACCCCAAAUUCCCUCUGUGGAAACAUCCCUCCCACACUCCACGGAGCUCACACGGGGAAGCCACGCCAGGUCCAACAAAGAGAAAGCUGUGAAAGUCUUUCUUUUAGUUUUCCCUGGGGAAGAGCCCUUCAGGCCUCCUAGCAAUGGGGUGGGAAUAGUGGCAUCGUGGCCACACAGGCGGAGCGCUGAGGAAUGAAUGUGACCUUGUGCCCAGGCUUCCAGUAGCUCCUCGCACACCCACACCUUCCUGUAACUGAUCCCGAGCCUCCCGGCACCUGCACAUGGAAACUGAGCCCCUUUCGACGGAUCUGGCAUCUGCAGGCCCCUGUGGGGCGGCCGCCUCCGCUCCGCAAGGCCAGCCCCUCUCAACGUUCAGUUUGCCCCCAGCCUCCAGUGGGUGGUUCCUCUCCCGCCCCCUUUGUCCUUCUUGCCAUUUCCCUGGAGGCGGAGAGAGGAGAAGAGACGACUUAAGGAGAAUGACUGCCCAUCACCACAUCCAGCCACAGGUUGGUCCCCCAGAAGCGCUCGGUCUUCUCCUCUCGGGAGGUGACCACAACCUUUCCCCGCUGUCCUCAGACCACCUCCCUCAUCCCCUCCCUGCUCAGACCCAGGAAGUGACCUCGUGUGCUCCAGUGUCCAGAGGAAAGACCAAUAACCACCCUCCAUUUCCGGCCACUUUCUGCAAGCCAGGAACACCAACUCUGCUUAAUCUACGCGGGAAGGAUUUUACUGAAAGGGUGUUGAGUAGCUCACAGGUUCUACAGCAAGACUGCAGGGCAACAGUUCGUCUUAGAGGAGCCAAAACCAAUGCCUGGUCAAUGGACAGAACCGGUGCCGACUCUGGGCACAGACACUGCUGUUUCCAUCACUCACCCUUCCGGUCCUGGAUCUCGGACACUUCUGCUGAAAUCACAGACGAUGCAUCAUUACCACGCCCACCAGAAUGCUGUCUCUAAGUACCUGCUUCUUUUUAUGACCGGUUUACAACCCAGAACAGAGG